rnacentral:rRNA from 1 species
AACGAACGCUGGCGGCAUGCCUAACACAUGCAAGUCGAACGAGACCUUCGGGCCUAGUGGCGCACGGGUGCGUAACGCGUGGGAACCUGCCCUUAGGUUCGGAAUAACUCCCCGAAGGGGGUGCUAAUACCGGAUAAUGUCUUCGGACCAAAGAUUUAUCGCCUUUGGAUGGGCCCGCGUUGGAUUAGCUAGUUGGUAGGGUAAAAGCCUACCAAGGCGACGAUCCAUAGCUGGUCUGAGAGGAUGAUCAGCCACACUGGGACUGAGACACGGCCCAGACUCCUACGGGAGGCAGCAGUGGGGAAUAUUGGACAAUGGGCGAAAGCCUGAUCCAGCAAUGCCGCGUGAGUGAUGAAGGCCUUAGGGUUGUAAAGCUCUUUUACCCGGGAUGAUAAUGACAGUACCGGGAGAAUAAGCUCCGGCUAACUCCGUG